CGAUAGCCUAGGAGAUACACCUGUUCCCAUGCCGAACACAGAAGUUAAGCCCUAGAACGCCUGAUGUAGUUGGGGGUUGCCCCCUGUUAGAUAUGGUAGUCGCUUAGCA
rnacentral:rRNA from 1 species